GCACCCGUAGCUCAGCUGGAUAGAGUACCGCCCUCCGAAGGCGGGGGUCACUGGUUCGAAUCCAGUCGGGUGCACCA
rnacentral:tRNA from 5 species